GCCUGAGCUCUGCAAUGUGGAGAGAUCUCAGGGGAAGGAGAAAAAGACUCCAGAUGCCAAACAAGGUGCACUUCUCUGAGCUACCAAGUCAGCAUUACCUUUUUCACUUCCCCAGCCUGUCCUAGGAAUUGAAUGCUCCCUGCUGAUGUGAGACCAGGACACCUUGUGACUGUAAUGGAGCUGGCUGUUCCCCUGUAGAGCAGCCACUGUCACUCCUACCAGGAAAAACAUCAGCACAGAAAAUAAGGAGAUAUCACACUCACUGAGGAGUGGGCAUUUUUCUGAGAACUCACCACCACCACGUGAACUGACUGCAAAGGAGAACGAGUUCAAGGACGGAAAGGUUCCUCACUGGGAAUCAUGGAUCUGCUGGGUUAAGUUUGAAUGUUGAUAUCUGCAUCUUCAGACACACUGACCUGUGGGCUCAGCUGUGACAGAAAACUGAGACCCAGUGAUGUGCUGCUGAAGUCUCUAAUAACACAUCAUGCCCACAGUACCUGCUGAAAACCCACUGAAAGGCCAGCAGGAAGAGUCAGAGGGAAUUCAGCCUCACCCCAGUCCUAGCUGUGAAACAAGCAGGUGAGAAGACAACCCUGCCUGUCCUAGCAGAUGGCUCCACACAUGUAUGGAGAGAACAUUAAGCAAAGCCAUGAACAAGGUUUCCCUGAGCAGUACUGGUGGCUCUGGCUGUGGGGCUGGAAGUUUGAUGACAGUUGUGAGUGACCGUCGUGCCUGAGUGGGCCAGCUGAAGGUGCAGGGAGGAGACUCUGAGGGCAUUGGCAAGGCAGCACAGAAGUGAAUCUGACCUGACUGUCCAUAUGGAGUCUGGCACCUGCACCGGCUUUCAGCCUCCCCCAGCCUCUGUCUCAGAGAAAUAAAAGAGGCAUCUUGGCUUCUUCCUUCCCCAGCACGUACCCUGGCAAUGGAGAAAGCUGAAGCACUAACUCGUGCCAUGGGGAAUGAGCAGUGGUAGAAGACCUCGGGGACCUGGAGCCAUGCAGACACUGAUGGAUUGUGCAAGUCAGGAGAGUAAAGGAGCAGCGCUCUCCAUAUUUAAAGGUGAUAGAGGCCACCAGGAAGAAACAAGUAAGAGAGCUGACCAAAUAUUCUUGAAUGCCACUGUCCAGUCAGUUUCAAAAGUGAAGUGUUCUCUUUGGCGUAACACGUUGGUAAGUUCCUUGUCUUCUUUUGGAUGCCUGUAAAUCAUUUGUAAAAUUACUCCAUUCCCUUACUGAUUUCUGAUUCAGCAGUUGGACUAAGUGGCUUUUGAAGGUCCUUUCCAACUAAACUAUUCUACUCUACUCUACUUCCACUCAUGUUACCUAGCACAAAUUAAAAUUUGCCUCUUUUUACUUUCAGUCUGUUGUAUCCUGCUACAAUACAUAUAGCUUGGCCAUGUAGUCCCACUCUUUACCUCUUAAGCCCCAAUGGUUAGUGUAGCUGUACGUCAUUUUUAACUUUUCUUCAGCAUCCCCUCCUGCUUCUGAUGUUUACCUCAUUGAGGACAUUGUGUCAGAGUAAUUAGAUAAAUGUCAGAUCUGGUUUUGUGUUUGUGUGGGACAAAUACCCAAACUAAAGGCAGGCUUACAGUGUCCCCUCUCUAACGAGUUUUCAUGGUUCUGCAUUCAUCCAUUAGCUAGCAAACAUGUAGUAAGGUAACGACGAAAAAAGAACGGAGUCUGGGUUUCUGUUCCAUGCUUUGCCCAUAACCGGGGCAGCCUUCACUGACACAGUCUAGCCUCAAAGGCCUUUUUCAGGGCUCAAUUAAGUCACAUGGGACCAUUGAUAUAAAGUGAUGAAUUGGCUUUUCAUUGCUCGUGUGGGUAAGGUUAUUCAGCGGCUUUGCAAAAUAAAGUCCUCUGGAUGGAAGUAAUGGCCAGGAGAUACAAUCUCAUCCUGAUUCCUCAGUAUCUCUUUCCUUAUUUGAAAAGAUUUAUGUGAUUUUUUUUAAUAUAAUUUCCCUCAGAAAUGAAAUUGUAACCAAAUACACUGUGAUACAGGUCUCAAGGCUCAUUUCCUUGGUAGAUAAUCUUAAAUCUCUACUGCUUUAAUUCUUUAACACUUUCAGAGUCAGUAAAUUACAGUUUUUGCUCAGAUUUUUUUUUUUUUUUACUGUAAGAUGCCUUCAUAACGAGGGGGCUUCAGUAAUAAAAUAGUUAUAUGGCAUUUUAAAAUGAUUGUUUAGCUAUGCUUUACCUCCUGGUAAUAUGGAUUGAUACAAACAGUGUUCUCUGUUUAAAAGGAGAUAUUUAAAGCCCUCAGGACACAGCUGUCUUUCUUCUUUUUCUCUGCCUAAUCAGAUUAAGUGUAAUAUACAAUGUCUUUCUGUAAAGAAAAGUGGAAUGCGCUUCUCAUCAAUUUAAGAGGAGCCUGUGGCAGUAUUUAAGAAAAUUAAUUAAAAGUUGUUCUGAGGAGCCACCCUGAUCCUCCUACACACGUUUACAUUUCUAAAGGCUGCCUUCCAGACAAGCAAGCACUUCUCUGAAAUGGUACAAUCCAACUGGUUCACACCCCUGGCUUGUGCUGCUGACAGAGCAACCAAAAGCAGUGAGGGACUGGCCAUACUUGAGAACGCUCCAGCAUUACUGGUUUAGUAUUUAUUAUAAGACUUCUUUUUUUUUCUCAAGGAGUGAUUGGUGGUUGAAAUGUGUGACAACUUAUUGCUGAGAGCAAGGGGACGAAAGCUGUGACUGGUCUAUGUUUUCAUGCAGAUAAUGCAAAGAAUUCAUGAAAUGAGAAAUCAAACAUGUGCACUGUCUAAAUUCUAUAGGCCUAGUGAGAGCUCCUCCUUAAAGAAUAGUAGGAAAGUGAGCAAAGUAAGAGUCGAAGAAAUUGAGCAACCUUGAAAUUGCUCCACACUCCUCUUCAUGUUCCUGGGGCUAGGGACACUACAUUUACACCAAGAGGUGUUCUCACUAAAAGAAAACUAAAUGGGCCAUGAACAGCAAUUCAAGUCCCUGGAGAAAUGUACAGAAACUAAAUCAGAUUGAGCAUGUAGGAAAGAAUUGUCAAAACCAUCCCAGGUGAUAGAGUUAUGGGAGAACAAGGAAGGACGUAGAGAAAUGUGGGAAAGAGAAAUAGAUUCUGAGUGCUGUGAAGCCUCCUGUGUCAAUCCAGUUGGCACCAAGGGCAUCCUGACCUUCCCAGGAAGGGAGAAAACUGUUGGAGAGACUGGUGGUUGCUUGUCCUCAGGACUUUCAAAAAACAAUGCCGAAAAGGAUCUAGCAAGUUAAAAAUGACAGAUAAUUUUGAUUAUUUACUAAACAAAGGUCCUAGCCCAGGAUUUGCGUGUGCCAGGUGAAGAAGCAAAUCAAUAUAUUUUCUGGUUACUGAAGAAAUGUUAUGUGAUGUUACAUCAGUCAUGGCUAGUGUCAAGUAUAAUCCAGCCAAAAAAUGUUUACCCUUCUGCAGUCAUUUCUGGUUUAUAAAAACUAUAAACAUUAUUUUAUGAUCCAGACAGGGAUCUCAGUUAAGGACUUCCUACUCAUAUGCUAUCCACAGAUCCAGAAAUUGAGAUUAGUGCAUCAUUUGUUGGCAGGACUGUGAGAAAAUCAAAACACACAACUGUAAGAAGUAAAUUCUUCCAUAGAAAAAUUUCUCUUUUUACUGGGUUAUCUCAGGAUCCAUUUCUCAUUUAAGUACCACCUGUUUUUUGGCCUUUGCAAGUGGUGCAAAUUUUCCAAUAAAUUCAGCUGUGAGUAUUAUAAUUUAGAAAAAGAAUGCUUUCUGGGGAAUGUGAAAUCCAGACAAUAGAUGACAAUAGGUAAUCCGUUUCGGGAGAAUAGCAUCACAAAAUCCUAAGGGAUACCACUAAUGAUAUCUUUGGAAGAGAAGAAUGCAAGGAAGAAAAACAGCUAGGCUCUCCUUGUGAGGCUACUCAGAGAUAACAUUUUGAAGAAAACUGCCUACAAUUGAAAGAGACAUGAGAGAAUAAGCAUGAAAAAGGAGCGCCCUGUAGGUGAAAGCAAGCAGGUGCAAAAGUGAGAGCAGCAAAUCCCUCUUCCCCUUCUCUGCUUCUUCAUCUGCAAGUAAGUUAAAAGAUAAAUUGUUUAGAAGGGAGUAAUGUAUGUGAUGAAUUAAAAUUGAGGUAACAAAGAAUAGAGAAACAAUACAUGGAAUGGAGAAUAAAUGAGAAAUACAGCUGAUUCCCACUGUGUGAAGAUCAAGAUCCAUCAUCUGAUUGCAUGUUCCGUGAUAUGUAAUAAUAGAGAUGUCCGUCCAAGUUUUUAGCCUUGUGGCUAUGUUCAGAGCUGAUCACAAGCUGGGAGACCUCUCUUAAAAAGUAAAAAAUAAAAAAAAACACCUAACCACUUUGUGUGAAAUGCAGUGACAUGGCAACAUUUUACAGCUUUAUGAUUCUCUUUUUGUAUAAUGGCUCUAGGCAGCAUUUGAGCAAGCCUUCUCCAGAAGAAGAUUCUCCAGAUUGAUUUUUUUGUUCCCACAAAGUGAAAAACAUACAAACAAAAAUCAUUAACCAGUUACAUUUGACAGGAGGAAAAAAAAAUAAAAAAGAAGGCAUCAGGGGAGCUUUUCAUUCCCAAGUAAUCUUGGCUAUGGUGUGAAAGCAGCUAUUCAAACUCAGGGCAAGAGAAACUCAGAAUCCAGGAAGGAAGCUCUUGUAUUGUUCUCUUUAGGAAUAGCAUGGAAAAGGUGCAAGAAAGGCAGAGAAUAUAUAUGGUCCCUGCAGGAUAAAGGUCUUGUCUCAGUCAACAUUUACUCUCUGGAUGAAGGAGAUGAAAUCAUCCCAAAUGUACACAGUGCUCUGUCUCUUCUUUAUACCCUUUCCCAGAGGUGCAGUCUGAGGUGUUUCAACCUGCAAUGGUGGUAUUAAAUUACAGAGUACAAGGAUUUUCCUGUGCUUCCUUCUCUGGCAGAGAACAGUAGGCCACUGAGUAGAUUACAGGAGCAUGUAUGAGCUCUUCAGUAUCCUCACCUAACAUUUCUGGCACAGAAGAGUGGGAAUCAUUUUGACUGUGUUCCUUUUCCCAUAUGGUCAAUUGCUUUAUGAAUGCAGCAAAUCACAAGUCUGCCAGUGCCAGCCCAACAAGCAGUUGGUUUGGUUAAGUGUAGACGUGGCUCAAAAUUACCAGUCUUCGUGUUUACAGUGAUGGAUUUUGUUAAAUAUUUAUAUCCAAGAUGCUGUCCUCCCUUAGAAAAAAAUAUCAGCUGUCAUUGUGAUUGAAAAUAUUGGGGGACUAUUGCCUUUAACUGAUGAUUUGGCCAAGCAAAUUUAGCAGUAAAGUUUUUAUACUUUUCAUUAAAAAGUGGCAAGUGAAGGGUGACAAAGUCCUGCAGAGUUUCUCCUCAGCUUUGUUGCCUCAUUGCAUAGUUCUGGAAAUUGCAGCAAAACAGUCACAUGGAGCCCUCAAGCCAUAGGACUCGCAUAGCUCAUGUUCACUUCUUGCCUUGUCUAGGAUAGCUGCUGGAUUCAAAGUCACAGAAGCAUGGUUAGAAGAAAAUAGCCUUGAUAUGUUUACCAUAAAUCUGUGAACCAAAUAUCCUGUCAACUACAUAUUUUCCAGUUCAACAAGUGGUUCAACCUCUUGUCAGCUUCAGCCUGCCAGAUUGUUUCUCAGUUCCUGAAAUCAUGGACUCCCUUCAUUGGGCUCAGAGCCUGGAAACCAGAACCUCUGUGAAUCUAUGGCCAGAAGCAUGACUUCAUGGGCAUCUGUUGGUGGCUGCUUCCAGCACAGGCAGGGCCUGCUACCAAGAGUAACUGCUGAAGUCUCCAGUGCUACAGCAAUGAAAAAGCAAAAUUGGGUGCCUGGAGGAAAAGUAAUCUUGUUCAACUGAGCUCUGUCUCAAAAGCAGGUUACCGUGGCUUAAUGAAUUAUCGUGAGUUUGCAGAACAGCGUGUUACCUUACCUAAAAGGGUGCAACGGAGGUCCUGGGUCCCAGUGUGAGGCAUGAUACAAAGAUGCAAGGCCCAGCAGAAGACAACUCAGGUUUGUUAUGAAUUGAGGAUAAAUAUCACUGAUAAAAUGGAGGUCAACAACUUAGCAGCAUCUUGUGGAAAAGGUUUGGAGGAGCCUUUGAAACAUCUGCUGACAAACUCUGAUGAGAAGGCAGUAAUGUGCUUGAAACAAACUUGAAGAAUGAAAAUGCAGCUGUUUCCAAGAGGCAAGAAGACUGCAGAACUCAUAGCUCUGCACAUGGACAAACAAAGAAGGAGCCCAAACCAAGACCUGUGGAUUUGAAGAAAUGGACUCUGAAAAUGCCCGUCCCACGCGUCCAUGCUGUUUGAGGCAUGGAUGACCCCUUGUAGCUGUCAGUGCAGCACGAAACUGCUUGCAAUAGCUCAGGUGUGCUUUUCAGUAGCAGCUUACACAUCUGAAUUUAACAGCCUUGCAGAGAAAGGCAGCUAACUCUGAAUGCAUCACUUUGCACGAAAUGAGCGUCUUCCCCAACAAACUGAUGCUCCUCUUCUUCUGAAGUUUCAAGGACCCGUCCCACCACCACCCCACAGAGUGCCAGGCUGACUUCAUGACCCACAGCCAACUCUGCAGUGCUCCAUCUCAUUCUCAGUGUUGCCUGACAGCAUCCCCAACCGACUACCUUCAUGAUGG